GUACACUCCUGCGGGAGGCAGCAGUGGGGAAUUUUGGACAAUGGGCGAAAGCCUGAUCCAGCCAUGCCGCGUGCAGGAUGAAGGCCUUCGGGUUGUAAACUGCUUUUGUACGGAACGAAACGGCCUUUUCUAAUAAAGAGGGCUAAUGACGGUACCGUAAGAAUAAGCACCGGCUAACUACGUGCCAGCAGCCGCGGUAAUACGUAGGGUGCAAGCGUUAAUCGGAAUUACUGGGCGUAAAGCGUGCGCAGGCGGUUAUGUAAGACAGUUGUGAAAUCCCCGGGCUCAACCUGGGAACUGCAUCUGUGACUGCAUAGCUAGAGUACGGUAGAGGGGGAUGGAAUUCCGCGUGUAGCAGUGAAAUGCGUAGAUAUGCGGAGGAACACCGAUGGCGAAGGCAAUCCCCUGGACCUGUACUGACGCUCAUGCACGAAAGCGUGGGGAGCAAACAGGAUUAGAUACCCCUGUAGUCCCAUGAU
rnacentral:rRNA from 1 species